CAUGCUUCAUCCACUGUGAUCUCACAUUAACCAUACAUGCAAGGUCACGUUGUGCAGAGCAAAAUGACAUCCUCCAUACGUUAGGGUUCGCUGAGACCUCAUCUGCUAAUGGCCUGACCCUAUUUGGGGCUACACUCCAGUUUGGGAAUUGCUGCUCUGUAGACAACUGCAGACUUGGAUGAAGCUGCUGGGCCUGCUAACCAGACGCCAAAAGGAUCCUUUUGGCUUUUUACAAAACGAGACAUUAGAAAAAUACCAAAAAAGUGUAAACUUCCUUCUAGGUGAGGCAGCUCUGGGUUGGUCUGGAUGGAGGGGCAUGCCAUUGCCAGCAGAUGCCCUUUUAUGUCUGUUGGCUAAGGAAGGGCCACAUGAAUGGAUCAGUCUAUUAAUGAUGCCACCAUAUUUGCAUUCAGUUUUACACAGAAACUUAGCUGUAUCAAUGGAUUUUUUUAUGUAA